rnacentral:lncRNA from 1 species
UGCAUCAAUGGGUAAAUCAGCGUAAGCAGGUGGAGAAAAUUGUCAGUUCACAGCAGCUCAAGGCUACUACAGCAGGGGGGAUUCGAACCAGGGACUCUCCAGCUCUAACCAUUGCACCACCUGCUGCUCCACAGCGGUUAAGGACACAGAGGCAGGGGCGACCCCUCAGGUGCCUUUGCUGACAUCACUCCCGGAUCAUCUGUGAGAGGGAGGGAUCAGCUUCCAGCGACAGCUUUACAUCAUAGUGUGACAUACCGAUGUGAAGAGUUCAGGUGGACACACACACACCUCAGCUACUGCAUUACAAGCUGAAGGUCAGGUGGAAGGCAGGGUCGCCUACCCACAGAGGACCCGUUUUCUCUCCUUCCUUCAGCGGAGGGGCCUUUCCGAGCCACAGAGGUACGAGGACAGCAGCCGAAAUGAGAGACACGGCCUGUUCCACUGCAUGCGGAGGACACCGACGCAGGAGGAGGGAGAAGAAGAGGAAGGUGACACGAUGACACCCCCACUCAGGAGCUGUGCGCCAGCGGUCAGGCAGGUUGGCAAGUGCCGCUCUGGAUGUUGAGCGCCUCGCCGUCCUCCAGCAGCCUGGUGUCCCGCGGCCCCCCGGCCUGCUGUCCAUCCAGCUUCUCAACUGUGCUGUUC